AGGAACUAGAGCGUCAAGAGUAGGAACUAGAGCGUCAAGAGUUCAAUGCAGAAGAGAAAUCGCGAGCGGAGAUGAUACGAGGCGGAAGGCGAUUAAAGCGACUAUUAAGAGUGACCUCGAUAAGAUCGCUUGAUGAGAGAAAGGAUAGAGCACAUUGACGAUGGGAUAGCACGAAGGCACUAUUACUGACCAAGGAAUGAUCAAGAGAGAGAGAGAGAGAGAGA
rnacentral:lncRNA from 13 species